rnacentral:lncRNA from 1 species
GCAGAAUUCAUCACAGUGUUUUAAAACUGGCUGACCUGCCCUGCCCCAGGUGUAUACACCAAGACCUUGAAGCUAUGUAUUGAAAGUAAAACAUCAACCUAUCCACAUUUUGGCCUCUCGUUUACUUUCCUUGAUUUCAACUUGCUCCUUAAAUUGCCGCUUAAAAUGGAGAAAGCAUUUCUGAAUUGAAGGAUGAGGACCCAAUGAAUGUAUUAAAAUUGCACUCGGGCUAUGUGAACUAUGCUAGGCGAAGCCAUUGCAAAGUCUGGGAGCAGCAUCCAGGCUCCACAGUACCCAGCUGGUGCAGAGCAUUCUGGUUCAGAUGGUUAACAGGGCACUCAGCAAUAAACAACUGUUUUCAUAAGAGAAAACUACGACUAACACAGAAAAUAAAUAAAGUCUUUAGAAGUCUUUAAAUAUUCUCUCUCAGGUUCUUUAUUUAACUUUCAUUAAGAGCAC